rnacentral:rRNA from 1 species
AUGCAAGGCAUAUCUGUGUGCGAUUCGGUCGCCACGCCCCACGGAACAAACUGCAGAUCAGCCUGUGUUGCUAGGAAUGAUCUGAGGUUCUGUUACAAAAUAAAUCCUGCAAGCCGUGGGGCAUACGCGUGGCGCUGGUGUGCGGAAAAGCUGCACAUGGGGACCAACCGUGGAAAAAUAAACACCACAGUAAGGACCAAUGCCAGAUGGUUCUUUGGAGGAGAUGCUCGUAACAGUAACAGUAACAAUAAUGCGGCCGCGAGGCUGGAGCGCAGUGAGUCUGCUAACGAAGACAUCUUGAUCUUCUACUUUCAGCUGGAUGUACAGACUCGGAUACAGUAUGCAUUGAAUAUAGAGCAGUUUGAUGCGGCAAAGCAAUUAAGGGAAAAGCUUGCUGAGAUCGAAACAGAGGUAACUAGGCAGCGUGAAGCUAAAAGAGGUUCAUCGAAGAAUGAAGCUCAGGAUAAAUCUUUAAAUCUCCUACGCGCGCGUGCAGAUUUGCAGAAUGCUAUUGAGAGCGAGAACUAUGCUUUGGCAGCUGAGCUGCGUGACACAAUCUCUAAGCUUGAGGGUGAUUCUCUGGCACUUUCUGCUAAAGCCCUGGCCUACCAAAGUGUGAAAUAUGAGUUUCGACUAGGGCAGAAAGUACGCCACAAAGUACAUGGAUAUAGAGCUGUGAUAUGUGGCAUGGAUCCUGUGUGCUGUGAAUCCAAGUCAUGGAUGGAGACGGCAAAUGUGGAGAAGUUAUCUAAAGGACCAAAUCAACCUUUUUAUCAAGUGCUGGUUGAUGUAUAUGCUGAUCCAGAACUCCUUGUUGCAUAUGUCGCAGAAGAAAAUCUUUCAGAAGCUGAAGAAUCAGAGAAAGGAAGGUUUGAGCACCCCUACACCGAAUUCCUAUUUUAUGGCGAGGACACAGCUCGGGACUUCAUUCCUGUGAAGCAACUCCGUGAGAAGUAUGACCAGCCACGCUAUGAAGCUUCUGGAGAUGAAAAUGACGACGAUGGCACUACAAAUAGCUAA